rnacentral:rRNA from 1 species
UACGUAGGGUGCGAGCGUUGUCCGGAAUUAUUGGGCGUAAAGAGCUUGUAGGCGGUCUGUCGCGUCUGCUGUGAAAAUCCGGGGCUCAACCCCGGACUUGCAGUGGGUACGGGCAGACUAGAGUGUGGUAGGGGAGACUGGAAUUCCUGGUGUAGCGGUGAAACGCGCAGAUAUCAGGAGGAACACCGAUGGCGAAGGCAGGUCUCUGGGCCACUACUGACGCUGAGAAGCGAAAGCAUGGGGAGCGAACAGG